rnacentral:rRNA from 1 species
UACGUAGGGUGCGAGCGUUAAUCGGAAUUACUGGGCGUAAAGUGUGCGCAGGCGGCGCUGCAAGUCGAGUGUGAAAUCCCCGAGCUUAACUUGGGAAUUGCGCUCGAAACUACGGCGCUGGAGUAUGGCAGAGGAAGGUGGAAUUCCACGUGUAGCGGUGAAAUGCGUAGAUAUGACAUAGAACACCAAUUGCGAAGGCAGCUGGCUACGCGAAUAUUGACACUGAUGCACGAAAGCGUGGGGAUCAAACAGG